AUCCGCAAGCGAGACACAAAGUUAGCCUAGUCUGCCCUCUUGUUAUUCGGCGGCUGGCUGCCGUCCUUUGACUGUGCGAGGGUACCCUUUUCAUUAGUCUUUUAAUUGAACACUUGUGUGAAGGAUUUGAUAAAAUGUAAACUGUCUCUUAUUUAUAUUUAAAAUUGAGGUUUUUAGUGAACAAGCUAAAAUAAGUUUAAUAGACGAGAAGACCCUAUAGAGUUCUAUAAUUUAUAAUUUAUAAUAUUUUUUUAAAAUUUUAGGAGAAUGAAUUUUAAAAACAUGCGUUGGGGUGAUAAAAAAAUUUAUAAAACUUUUUUUUUUUAUUAACAUAAAAAAUUGAAUAAUGGACCUUAAAAAAAAUUAAAAAAAAAAAUUUCCUUAAGGAUAACAGCCGAAAUUUAAUUGAACACUUGUGUGAAGGAUUUGAUAAAAUGUAAACUGUCUCUUUAGACGAGAAGACCCUAUAGAGUUCUAUAAUUU
rnacentral:rRNA from 1 species